rnacentral:rRNA from 2 species
UUAAGUUAUUAAGGGCGCACGGUGGAUGCCUUGGCACUAGAAGCCGAUGAAGGACGUUACUAACGACGAUAUGCUUUGGGGAGCUGUAAGUAAGCUUUGAUCCAGAGAUUUCCGAAUGGGGAAACCCAACAUGAGUUAUGUCAUGUUAUCGAUAUGUGAAUACAUAGCAUAUCAGAAGGCACACCCGGAGAACUGAAACAUCUUAGUACCCGGAGGAAGAGAAAGAAAAAUCGAUUCCCUUAGUAGCGGCGAGCGAAACGGGAAGAGCCCAAACCAACAAGCUUGCUUGUUGGGGUUGUAGGACACUCUAUACGGAGUUACAAAGGACGACAUUAGACGAAUCAUCUGGAAAGAUGAAUCAAAGAAGGUAAUAAUCCUGUAGUCGAAAAUGUUGUCUCUCUUGAGUGGAUCCUGAGUACGACGGAGCACGUGAAAUUCCGUCGGAAUCUGGGAGGACCAUCUCCUAAGGCUAAAUACUCUCUAGUGACCGAUAGUGAACCAGUACCGUGAGGGAAAGGUGAAAAGCACCCCGGAAGGGGAGUGAAAUAGAACCUGAAACCGUGUGCUUACAAGUAGUCAGAGCCCGUUAAUGGGUGAUGGCGUGCCUUUUGUAGAAUGAACCGGCGAGUUACGAUUUGAUGCAAGGUUAAGCAGUAAAUGUGGAGCCGUAGCGAAAGCGAGUCUGAAUAGGGCGUUUAGUAUUUGGUCGUAGACCCGAAACCAGGUGAUCUACCCUUGGUCAGGUUGAAGUUCAGGUAACACUGAAUGGAGGACCGAACCGACUUACGUUGAAAAGUGAGCGGAUGAACUGAGGGUAGCGGAGAAAUUCCAAUCGAACCUGGAGAUAGCUGGUUCUCUCCGAAAUAGCUUUAGGGCUAGCCUCAAGUGAUGAUUAUUGGAGGUAGAGCACUGUUUGGACGAGGGGCCCCUCUCGGGUUACCGAAUUCAGACAAACUCCGAAUGCCAAUUAAUUUAACUUGGGAGUCAGAACAUGGGUGAUAAGGUCCGUGUUCGAAAGGGAAACAGCCCAGACCACCAGCUAAGGUCCCAAAAUAUAUGUUAAGUGGAAAAGGAUGUGGCGUUGCCCAGACAACUAGGAUGUUGGCUUAGAAGCAGCCAUCAUUUAAAGAGUGCGUAAUAGCUCACUAGUCGAGUGACACUGCGCCGAAAAUGUACCGGGGCUAAACAUAUUACCGAAGCUGUGGAUUGUCCUUUGGACAAUGGUAGGAGAGCGUUCUAAGGGCGUUGAAGCAUGAUCGUAAGGACAUGUGGAGCGCUUAGAAGUGAGAAUGCCGGUGUGAGUAGCGAAAGACGGGUGAGAAUCCCGUCCACCGAUUGACUAAGGUUUCCAGAGGAAGGCUCGUCCGCUCUGGGUUAGUCGGGUCCUAAGCUGAGGCCGACAGGCGUAGGCGAUGGAUAACAGGUUGAUAUUCCUGUACCACCUAUAAUCGUUUUAAUCGAUGGGGGGACGCAGUAGGAUAGGCGAAGCGUGCGAUUGGAUUGCACGUCUAAGCAGUAAGGCUGAGUAUUAGGCAAAUCCGGUACUCGUUAAGGCUGAGCUGUGAUGGGGAGAAGACAUUGUGUCUUCGAGUCGUUGAUUUCACACUGCCGAGAAAAGCCUCUAGAUAGAAAAUAGGUGCCCGUACCGCAAACCGACACAGGUAGUCAAGAUGAGAAUUCUAAGGUGAGCGAGCGAACUCUCGUUAAGGAACUCGGCAAAAUGACCCCGUAACUUCGGGAGAAGGGGUGCUCUUUAGGGUUAACGCCCAGAAGAGCCGCAGUGAAUAGGCCCAAGCGACUGUUUAUCAAAAACACAGGUCUCUGCUAAACCGUAAGGUGAUGUAUAGGGGCUGACGCCUGCCCGGUGCUGGAAGGUUAAGAGGAGUGGUUAGCUUCUGCGAAGCUACGAAUCGAAGCCCCAGUAAACGGCGGCCGUAACUAUAACGGUCCUAAGGUAGCGAAAUUCCUUGUCGGGUAAGUUCCGACCCGCACGAAAGGCGUAACGAUUUGGGCACUGUCUCAACGAGAGACUCGGUGAAAUCAUAGUACCUGUGAAGAUGCAGGUUACCCGCGACAGGACGGAAAGACCCCGUGGAGCUUUACUGUAGCCUGAUAUUGAAAUUCGGCACAGCUUGUACAGGAUAGGUAGGAGCCUUUGAAACGUGAGCGCUAGCUUACGUGGAGGCGCUGGUGGGAUACUACCCUAGCUGUGUUGGCUUUCUAACCCGCACCACUUAUCGUGGUGGGAGACAGUGUCAGGCGGGCAGUUUGACUGGGGCGGUCGCCUCCUAAAAGGUAACGGAGGCGCUCAAAGGUUCCCUCAGAAUGGUUGGAAAUCAUUCAUAGAGUGUAAAGGCAUAAGGGAGCUUGACUGCGAGACCUACAAGUCGAGCAGGGUCGAAAGACGGACUUAGUGAUCCGGUGGUUCCGCAUGGAAGGGCCAUCGCUCAACGGAUAAAAGCUACCCCGGGGAUAACAGGCUUAUCUCCCCCAAGAGUUCACAUCGACGGGGAGGUUUGGCACCUCGAUGUCGGCUCAUCGCAUCCUGGGGCUGUAGUCGGUCCCAAGGGUUGGGCUGUUCGCCCAUUAAAGCGGUACGCGAGCUGGGUUCAGAACGUCGUGAGACAGUUCGGUCCCUAUCCGUCGUGGGCGUAGGAAAUUUGAGAGGAGCUGUCCUUAGUACGAGAGGACCGGGAUGGACAUACCUCUGGUGUACCAGUUGUCGUGCCAACGGCAUAGCUGGGUAGCUAUGUGUGGACGGGAUAAGUGCUGAAAGCAUCUAAGCAUGAAGCCCCCCUCAAGAUGAGAUUUCCCAACUUCGGUUAUAAGAUCCCUCAAAGAUGAUGAGGUUAAUAGGUUCGAGGUGGAAGCAUGGUGACAUGUGGAGCUGACGAAUACUAAUCGAUCGAAGACUUAAUCAA